GACGAACCGUGCGAACGUUAUUCGGAAUCACUGGGCUUAAAGCGCGUGUAGGCGGGCCGGCACGUCGGUCGCUGAAAUCCCCCGGCUCAACCGGGGAAGGGGCGCCGAUACGACCGGCCUGGAGGGGCGUAGGGGGACCGGGAACUUCCGGUGGAGCGGUGAAAUGCGUUGAGAUCGGAAGGAACCCCCGCGGCGAAAGCGCGGUCCUGGACGCCUGCUGACGCUGAGACGCGAAAGCCAGGGGAGCGAACGGG
rnacentral:rRNA from 1 species